AUCUUCAGCUGUGAUGCAAGCAUGAAAUUAUGUUACAUAAUUUCAUGCUUGCAUCACAGCUGAAGAU
rnacentral:sRNA from 1 species